GGUAAACAAACAUGUCUGCCCGAUGUUAGCCGUCGAGCUGUACGGCAGACAGAGGAUACAAUAGAGGAGUGAUGGCUUCCAAAACCAAAAGGACGGGGCCAGGGCUCAAACCUGCCGGCUUGAUCAGACAUGACUCCUCCUUUGAAUUUGAAAUUAAGGGAAAAUCUCACAGUGCUACCCCACGACCAAGAAAUGCCAAGUCAUCAAAGAAACCAACACAGGAUAAGUCCAAGACUGCAGCCAGGGCGAAUGCAGCAACUCAAUCUAUAUGUAAG